rnacentral:rRNA from 1 species
UACGUAGGGUGCGAGCGUUGUCCGGAAUUAUUGGGCGUAAAGAGCUCGUAGGCGGUUUGUCGCGUCGACUGUGAAAACCCGAGGCUUAACCUCGGGCCUGCAGUCGAUACGGGCAGACUAGAGUUCGGUAGGGGAGACUGGAAUUCCUGGUGUAGCGGUGAAAUGCGCAGAUAUCAGGAGGAACACCGGUGGCGAAGGCGGGUCUCUGGGCAUUAACUGACGCUGAGGAGCGAAAGCAUGGGGAGCGAACAGG